CAGCAAGAUCUCUCUUCCGUCCUGCUCCUCCUCCAGUCCUCUCCUCCAGUGCUCUCCUCCGGCCAGCGUGAGCUUGAGAGAGGUUGGUACCUGCAUGUAGCCAUGGACGGCCACCACCGCGCGCCGCGCCAGAUUCUGGUGCUCGAGGAGGCGUUCAAGAAAUGUCCCCACCCCGACCAGACUCAGGUCGCAAAUCUCAGCCGCGAAACUGGCAUGGAGGUCCAUCAGAUCCAAUAUUGGUUCCAGACUCGGCGGGCGCAGAUGAAGGGAUCUUCAUCGAACACAAGGCCUCCGACCAAGGGAUCUUCAUCGCCAGAUCCGUGAUGCUCCUCUCAUUCGACAACUUCACCUUCAUUCUUUGACACAAGGAGGAGCGUCAUAGAGAUGGAGGCUGAUGUUCGUCGUCGCUAUUGUGGUCUUUCUCGGUUUAGUGUUUGUGCGUGUGUGUUUCGUCUUAUUAGCCAAGGCCCCCUUCGGGUUUGUAUCGUGUGCAUCUGUGGCUCUUGAGCCUUGGACCCCAGAUAGGUUUGUAUCUUGUUGUGUUGUGUUUGCCUUGCAUUUGAAUUUUAAACUGCCACCGUACCCUGAACCUUGCUAUAGUUGGGGUUUAGCUUUGACUAAGCAAUAAGAAAUUAUCUGAAUAUUUUUGUAUU